GACGAACGCUGGCGGCGUGCUUAACACAUGCAAGUCGAACGGAAAGGCCCUGCUUGCAGGGUACUAGAGUGGCGAACGGGUGAGUAACACGUGGGUGAUCUGCCCUGCACUUCGGGAUAGGCCUGGGAAAAGGGGACCAUACCCGGAUAGCGCCCACGUUUAGUGGGUGGAUGGGAAGGUUUUUUCGGUGUAGGAUGAGUUCGCGGCCUAUCAGCUUGUUGGUGGGGUAAUGGCCUACCAGGGCGGCGACGGGUAGCCGGCCUGUGAGGGUGGACGGCCACACUGGGACUGAGAUACGGCCCAGGCUCCUACGGGAGGCAGCAGUGGGGAAUCUUGCUCCAUGGGCGCCAGCCUGAUGCAGCGACGCCGCGUGGGGGAUGACGGCCUUCGGGUUGUAAACUCCUUUCGCUAUGGACGAAGCUUUUUGUGACGGUACCUAGAUAAGAAGCACCGGCUAACUACGUG
rnacentral:rRNA from 1 species